GGAUUAGAUACCCUGGUAGUCCACGCCGUAAACGAUGUGCACUAGAUCGAGGGGGUUCUGACACUGCUCUCGGUCGAAGCGAAAGUGUUAAGUGCACCGCCUGGGGAGUACGGUCGCAAGGCUAAAACUCAAAGGAAUUGACGGGGGCUCACACAAGCGGUGGAGCAUGUGGCUUAAUUCGAAGCAACGCGAAGAACCUUAUCCUGGAUUUGACAUGUACUGAUUAGUUCAUGGAAACAUGAGUGACGCUGCUUGCAGUGGAACGUACACAAGUGCUGCAUGGCUGUCGUCAGCUCGUGCUG
rnacentral:rRNA from 1 species